rnacentral:rRNA from 1 species
GUGGGGAAUCUUGCGCAAUGGGCGAAAGCCUGACGCAGCCAUGCCGCGUGAAUGAUGAAGGUCUUAGGAUUGUAAAAUUCUUUCAUCGGGGACGAUAAUGACGGUACCCGGAGAAGAAGCUCCGGCUAACUUCGUGCCAGCAGCCGCGGUAAUACGAAGGGGGCUAGCGUUGCUCGGAAUUACUGGGCGUAAAGGGCGCGUAGGCGGACAGCUUAGUCAGAGGUGAAAGCCCAGGGCUCAACCUUGGAAUUGCCUUUGAUACUGGCUGUCUUGAGUUUGGGAGAGGUGAGUGGAACUCCGAGUGUAGAGGUGAAAUUCGUAGAUAUUCGGAAGAACACCAGUGGCGAAGGCGACUCACUGGCCCAAUACUGACGCUGAGGCGCGAAAGCGUGGGGAGCAAACAGGAUUAGAAACCCCAGUAGUCC